GCAAGUCGAGGGGUAACAGGGGCUUUCUCUGCUGACGACCGGCGCACGGGUGCGUAACGCGUAUGCAACCUACCUUCUACAGGGGGAUAGUCAAUAGAAAUGUUGAAUAAUACUCCAUACGAUCUUUGAAUAGCAUUAUUUAAAGAAGAAAGUUCCGGCGGUAGAAGAUGGGCAUGCGUCCUAUUAGUUAGUUGGAGAGGUAACGGCUCACCAAGACAUCGAUAGGUAGGGGUCCUGAGAGGGGGACC
rnacentral:rRNA from 1 species